GAGUAACGCGUAUGCAACCUGCCCUUCACAGGGGGAUAACCGGGAGAAAUUCCGACUAAUACCGCAUACGUCCUCCGGGGGCAUCCCCGGAGGAUGAAAGAUUUAUCGGUGAAGGAUGGGCAUGCGUGAUAUUAGGUAGUUGGCGGGGCAACGGCCCACCAAGCCCACGAUAUCUAGGGGUUCUGAGAGGAAGGUCCCCCACAUUGGUACUGAGACACGGACCAAACUCCUACGGGAGGCAGCAGUGAGGAAUAUUGGUCAAUGGACGAGAGUCUGAACCAGCCAAGUCGCGUGAAGGAAGACGGAUCUAUGGUUUGUAAACUUCUUUAGUGCGGGAACAAAGCGGCGUCGUGACGCCGGAUGAGUGUACCGCAAGAAUAAGCAUCGGCUAACUCCGUGCCAGCAGCCGCGGUAAUACGGAGGAUGCGAGCGUUAUCCGGAUUUAUUGGGUUUAAAGGGAGCGCAGGCUGCGAGGCAAGUCAGCGGUCAAAUGUCGGGGCUCAACCCCGGCCUGCCGUUGAAACUGUCCUGCUAGAGUUCGAGUGAGGUAUGCGGAAUGCGUUGUGUAGCGGUGAAAUGCAUAGAUAUGACGCAGAACUCCGAUUGCGAAGGCAGCAUACCAACUCGCGACUGACGCUGAGGCUCGAAAGCGUGGGUAUCGAACAGGAUUAGAUACCCUGGUAGUCCACGCAGUAAACGAUGAAUACUAACUGUUCGGAGGGCGACCUCUGAGUGGUAAAG
rnacentral:rRNA from 1 species